rnacentral:lncRNA from 1 species
GCUGUCCCACGCGCCGGGUCCCGUUGGCGCCGGGGCCUCCUGGGACGGCCUGGCCGCGGCCUGCGGGUGUAGGCGCCUCGGCGGCCACCGCGUCCCCAGGGGGCCUCGCGGACGGGGGCGCGGGGCUGCGGGGAGGAGGCGGGCGGGCCCCUCGGGCGACACCGCGGGGCGGGCGGCGGGAAGCCCGGACUCAGCGGUUUCCUGGGCAACCGGCCUCCUCCGGCGCGGCCCGCGCGGCUCCAGGUGGCGGGAGGCGGCGGUUGGCGGGAAGGGCCGCGCGGGCCCGGGGGCGGCGCCUCAGGUAGCAGCGCCAGGUGGCGCCCGUGGGCGGCGGGGCUCCCGGGGAGGCGCCUGCUCCCGCCCACGCCGGGCCCGGCCUUCGCGAGCUUCCUUCUGGAUUCCAGCGCGAAGCCGCCGCGGAAACUCCCCGGGCGGGCAUCGGAGCUCUGGGGCGGGGCGGCCGGGCUCAGAGGGCGGGCGGGAGCAGGCGGGCGGCGAGGGCGGGCAGCAGCAGCGGGAGCAGGGGCGCCCCGGGCGCCGGGGCCGCUGCGCCCGAGCACUGCUGAGACGACAUCCCUUCCAGCGCCGCCACGUAGUCCAGCCCCAGCCAGCCGCGGUCCUGGAAGCACCGCAGGCAGACGACCUGCUCCUCACUGGGCUCAGGCAGGGUCACCCGCCCAGUGCCGCUAGCUGCAAAUUGCUUUACAUACAGUGACCCAAAGAGCAAGUCAUUUCAGGGCCCCACCACUCUGAUUGGAAGUCAUAAGCUUGACAACUGAUUGGCCUCUGUCACCCAAGCGGGUGUGGGGACACUAGGCCCGCAGGUGCCACUGGAAGAGGCGUUCAGAAGCACUGCGGUGCUCCAGCUCCUGGAUGCAGAUAUCUCCCCACAAACCUAAACAAUUUCGAGAGGGACUUGUGUUCUGCAACCAGUCACAGAAUAUCAGGUGAGCUGGGCGUGUCUUCACUGACCCACCCGCCCAGGGAUGCUGCACUCCUCUCCACCCUGCUCAGAAUCACUAGAAUGACCGUUCUGUGGCUACAGCCCUAAAAGAGCUACUAAAAAGACCAGAAGUAGUAUGAGAACUUAUGAAUACGAAUAUAAAUAAAGGACAUCUGGAGAACAUGCA